UUCCGCCAAUGAGCGUGCAGAACGUGAGUGGAGGUUCCGGCAGGUUGGCUGGGGGUGGAGAUGACGUAGGAUCCGGGUGCGGGCACACAGGAAGAGGGUGCUGGAUCAGGGGAGAGGCGGCUGCGGAGCGGGCGGAGCUGCGAUCAUCUGUGAGGCUCCCAUCAUGGUGUCCGUAACAAUGGCCACCUCCGAAUGGAUCAACUUCUUCAAAGAAGCUGGGAUCCCUGCAGGGCCAGCUGUCAACUACGCGGUGACAUUUGUGGACAACAGGUGAGAGGAA